rnacentral:tRNA from 1 species
AGGCUUAAGGCUUAGUGGUUAGAGCACUUGGAUGGUUUCCACGAGGUGCAGGUUCAAAUCCUGCUGCGUUUA